UACAGAGGGUGCAAGCGUUGCUCGGAAUCAUUGGGCGUAAAGGGUAGGUAGGUGGUCUUAUUUGUCUGGGGUGAAAGCCUUGAGCUUAACUCAAGAAGUGCCCCAGAAACGGUAAGACUCGAGUCCUGGAGAGGGUCGUGGAAUUCCCGGUGUAGCGGUGAAAUGCGUAGAGAUCGGGAGGAACACCAGAGGCGAAAGCGGCGACCUGGACAGGCACUGACACUCAACUACGAAAGCGUGGGGAGCAAACAGG
rnacentral:rRNA from 1 species